AGAGUUUGAUCCUGGCUCAGAACGAACGCUGGCGGCGUGCCUAACACAUGCAAGUCGAACGCGAAAGGGGGCAACCCCCGGUAGCGUGGCAGACGGGUGAGUAACACGUGGGUAACCUACCCGGAGGUGGGGGAUAACCCUUCGAAAGGAGGGCUAAUACCGCAUAAUAACGUGGGGAUCUCGGUCCUCGCGAUCAAAGCUGGCCUCUGUUUACAAGCUAGCGCCACCGGAUGGGCCCGCGCCCCAUUAGCUAGUUGGUGAGGUAACGGCUCACCAAGGCGACGAUGGGUAGCCGGCCUGAGAGGGCGAUCGGCCACACUGGAACUGCGACACGGUCCAGACUCCUACGGGAGGCAGCAGUGAGGAAUCUUGCGCAAUGGGCGAAAGCCUGACGCAGCGACGCCGCGUGGAGGAUGAAGGUCUUCGGAUUGUAAACUCCUGUCGAGUGGGACGAAUGCCGCGAGGGUGAACAAUCCUUGCGGUUGACGGUACCGCUGGAGGAAGCCCCGGCUAACUCCGUGCCAGCAGCCGCGGUAAUACGGAGGGGGCUAGCGUUGUUCGGAAUCAUUGGGCGUAAAGGGCGCGUA
rnacentral:rRNA from 1 species